rnacentral:rRNA from 1 species
AUUGAACGCUGGCGGCAUGCUUUACACAUGCAAGUCGAACGGUAACAGGUCUUCGGAUGCUGACGAGUGGCGAACGGGUGAGUAAUGUAUCGGAACGUGCCCAGUAGUGGGGGAUAACUACUCGAAAGAGUGGCUAAUACCGCAUGAGAACUGAGGUUGAAAGCGGGGGACCUUCGGGCCUCGCGCUACUGGAGCGGCCGAUAUCAGAUUAGGUAGUUGGUGGGGUAAAGGCCUACCAAGCCGACGAUCUGUAGCUGGUCUGAGAGGACGACCAGCCACACUGGGACUGAGACACGGCCCAGACUCCUACGGGAGGCAGCAGUGGGGAAUUUUGGACAAUGGACGCAAGUCUGAUCCAGCAAUGCCGCGUGCAGGACGAAGGCCUUCGGUUGUAAACUGCUUUGUACAGAACGAAAAGGACUCUGGUUAAUACCUGGGGCUCAUGACGGUACUGUAAGAAUAAGCACCGGCUAACUACGUAGCCAGCAGCCGCGGUAAA